UGGGGGGUCGUCUAAUGGUCGGACUUCUCCCUUUGGAGGAGAAUAUCGGGGUUCGACUCCCUGCCCCCCAG
rnacentral:tRNA from 3 species